AUUGAACGCUGGCGGCAGGCUUAACACAUGCAAGUCGAAACGAUGAAACCUAGCUUGCUAGGUGGAAUAGUGGCGGACGGGUGAGUAACACUUAGGAAUCUACCUAAUAGCGGGGGAUAGCCCGGGGAAACUCGGAAUAAUACCGCAUAUUUUUACGGAAGAAAGGGGGCAGAAUACUGCUCUCACUAUUAGAUGAGCCUAAGCAGGAUUAGCCAGAUGGUGGGGUAACGGCCUACCAUAGCGACGAUCCUUAGCUGGUCUGAGAGGAUGAUCAGCCACACUGGGACUGAGACACGGCCCAGACUCCUACGGGAGGCAGCAGUGGGGAAUAUUGGACAAUGGGGGGAACCCUGAUCCAGCCAUGCCGCGUGUGUGAAGAAGGCCUUUUGGUUGUAAAGCACUUUAAGUAGCGAAGAAGACCCCAUGGUUAAUACCCAUGGGCGAUGACAUUAACUACAGAAUAAGCACCGGCUAACUCUGUGCCAGCAGCCGCGGUAAUACAGAGGGUGCAAGCGUUAAUCGGAAUUACUGGGCGUAAAGCGAACGUAGGUGGUUAAAUAAGUCAGAUGUGAAAUCCCCGAGCUUAACUUGGGAACUGCAUCUGAAACUGUAUAACUAGAGUAGGUGAGAGGAAAGUAGAAUUCCAGGUGUAGCGGUGAAAUGCGUAGAGAUCUGGAGGAAUACCGAUGGCGAAGGCAGCUUUCUGGCAUCAUACUGACACUGAGGUUCGAAAGCGUGGGUAGCAAACAGG
rnacentral:rRNA from 1 species